rnacentral:rRNA from 1 species
UACGGAGGAUCCGAGCGUUAUCCGGAUUUAUUGGGUUUAAAGGGUGCGUAGGCGGUUUGAUAAGUUAGAGGUGAAAUGUCGGGGCUCAACCCCGAAACUGCCUCUAAUACUGUUGGACUAGAGAAUAGUUGCGGUAGGAGGAAUGUAUGGUGUAGCGGUGAAAUGCUUAGAGAUCAUACAGAACACCGAUUGCGAAGGCAGCUUACCAAACUAUAUCUGACGUUGAGGCACGAAAGCGUGGGUAGCAAACAGG